rnacentral:rRNA from 1 species
CCUACGGGUGGCUGCAGUGAGGAAUAUUGGUCAAUGGACGAGAGUCUGAACCAGCCAAGUAGCGUGAGUGAUGACUGCCCUAUGUGUUGUAAACUUCUUUUGUAAGGGAAUAAAACGAGGCACGUGUGCCUUUUUGCAUGUACUUUAUGAAUGAGGAUCGGCUAACUCCGUGCCAGCAGCCGCGGUAAUACGGAGGAUGCGAGCGUUGUCCGGAUUUAGUGGGUUUAAAGGGAGCGUAGAUGGGUUGUUAAGUCAGUUGUGAAAGUUUGAGGCUCAACCGUAAAAUUGCAAUUGAUACUGGAAGGCUUGAGUACAGUUGAGGUAGGCGGAAUUCGUGGUGUAGCGGUGAAAUGCUUAGAUAUUACGAAGAACCCCGAUUGCGAAGGCAGCUUACUAAACUGUGACUGACAUUGAUGCUCGAAAGUGUGGGUAUCAAACAGGAUUAGAUACCCCUGUAGUC